rnacentral:tRNA from 1 species
AAGACUCUAGUAAAACAGAAAAUUACACUGCCUUGUCAAGGCAGGAUUGUGGGUUAAAGCCCCACGUGUCUUG